AGGUGUGUGGCCUAGUGGUUAGAGUGUCAGACUCAGCCCUUGAAUGCCAGGGUUCAAAUCCCCACUCAGCUG